rnacentral:rRNA from 1 species
UCAAGCGCGAAAAGGGCGUUUGGUGAAUGCCUUGGCAGUAAGAGGCGAUGAAAGACGUGAUACUCUGCGAUAAGCCAUGGGGAGCUGAGAAUAAGCUUUGAUCCAUGGAUUUCUGAAUGGGGCAACCCACCUGAUUGUUUAUUGUUGUCCUACCGCUUUGCUACUUGAGGACGUAAGUUCGCAAGGUGCAGACGGUGGGUUCAUCAGUAAGCAGAACCAGGUAUUUAUAGACUGAAUACAUAGGUUUAUAAAAGCAAACCCGGGGAACUGAAACAUCUAAGUACCCGGAGGAAAGGAAAUCAAUAUGAUACUCCCCUAGUAGCGGCGAGCGAACGGGGACCAGCCGAGCCAUGAGUGUGGUUAGAAUGCGUUGGAAUGCGCAACCAAAGUGGGUGAUAGUCCCGUAUAAGAAGCAUGAUUGGACGUAUUAAGUAGGGCGGAACACGUGAAAUUCUGUCUGAAGAUCGGAGGACCACCUUCGAAGGCUAAGUACUCCUUACUGACCGAUAGUGAACCAGUACCGUGAGGGAAAGGUGAAAAGCACCCCGACGAGGGGAGUGAAACAGUACCUGAAACCGAACGCCUACAAACAGUUGGAGGGACCUUGCGUCCUGACAGCGUACCUUUUGUAUAAUGGGUCAUCGACUUGGUCUCACGAGCAAGCUUAAGCCGUUAGGUGUAGGCGUAGCGAAAGCGAGUCUUAAUAGGGCGUUGAGUUUGUGGGAUCAGACCCGAAACCGAGUGAUCUAGGCAUGGCCAGGUUGAAGAUAAGGUAACACUUAUUGGAGGACCGAACCCACAUCCGUUGAAAAGGAUCGGGAUGAGCUGUGCCUAGGGGUGAAAGGCCAAUCAAACUCGGAGAUAGCUGGUUCUCUGCGAAAUCUAUUUAGGUAGAGCGUCAUCCGAAUACCCUCGGGGGUAGAGCACUGGAUGGGUAAUGGGGCCCCACAGGCUUACUGAUCCUAACCAAACUCCGAAUACCGAGGAGUACUAGAUGGCAGACACACGGCGAAUGCUAACGUCCGUCGUGAAGAGGGAAACAACCCUGACCUACAGCUAAGGCCCCUAAUUCAUGGCUAAGUGGGAAAGCAGGUGAGACGACCAAAACAACCAGGAGGUUGGCUUAGAAGCAGCCAUCCUUUAAAGAUAGCGUAACAGCUCACUGGUCUAAAUAAGUUGUCUUGCGGCGAAGAUGUAACGGGGCUCAAGCCAUGAGCCGAAGCUUAGGAUGCAUUUAUUGCAUGGUAGCAGAGCGUAGUGUGACAUAGUUCCAUGUGUCCUUAUCGUCCCUCGGGACGGGUUGGACACAAGGAGCUUUCUGUGAAGCUGGCGCGUGAGCGAUCCGGUGGAGAGAUCACUAGUGAGAAUGAUGACAUGAGUAGCGACAAAGAGUGUGAGAGACACUCUCGCCGAAAAUCCAAGGGUUCCUGCUUAAAGCUAAUCUGAGCAGGGUAAGCCGACCCCUAAGGCGAGGCCGAAAGGCGUAGUCGAUGGGAACCAGGUUAAUAUUCCUGGGCCAGAUGGAAGUGACGGAUCUCGAGGGUAGUUCAUCCUUAUCGGAUUGAAUGGGCUGCUUAGAGGUCCCUGGAAAUAGCUCCAUCGCUAGAUCGUACCCUAAACCGACACAGGUGGACAGGUAGAGAAUACCAAGGCGCUUGAGAGAACUAUGUUGAAGGAACUCGGCAAAAUACCUCCGUAAGUUCGCGAGAAGGAGGCCCGGUUUCUAGGCAACUAGAGGCUGGGGGCACAAACCAGGGGGUGGCGACUGUUUAUUAAAAACACAGGGCUCUGCGAAGUCGCAAGACGACGUAUAGGGUCUGACGCCUGCCCGGUGCCUGAAGGUUAAAAGGAGGGGUGAGAGCUCUGAAUUGAAGCCCAGGUAAACGGCGGCCGUAACUAUAACGGUCCUAAGGUAGCGAAAUUCCUUGUCGGG